AAGCUUACAGAUGGAUAUGACAAAGUAAAAGGAUUAGCAACUUACAGAUGAAAAUGGCAAAUGAAAAAAUGGGCUGGAAAGAUCAGCCCUUCAAGUCCUCCUUAAUAAGGGAGCCAAUCCAAUGGGAAGAAGAUACACUCAGUGGCCACUUUAUUAACUACCUCCUGUUCCUGCAUAAGAUGCUCUUCUGCACGC